rnacentral:rRNA from 1 species
ACGGGAGGCAGCAGUGGGGAAUAUUGCACAAUGGGCGAAAGCCUGAUGCAGCAACGCCGCGUGCGGGAAGAAGGCCUUAGGGUUGUAAACCGCUUUCAGCAGGGAAGAAACUGACGGUACCUGCAGAAGAAGGUGCGGCCAACUACGUGCCAGCAGCCGCGGUGACACGUAGGCACCAAGCGUUGUCCGGAUUUAUUGGGCGUAAAGAGCUCGUAGGCGGUUCAGUAAGUCGGGUGUGAAAACUCUGGGCUCAACCCAGAGACGCCACCCGAUACUGCUGUGACUUGAGUACGGUAGGGGAGUGGGGAAUUCCUGGUGUAGCGGUGAAAUGCGCAGAUAUCAGGAGGAACACCAGUGGCGAAGGCGCCACUCUGGGCCGUAACUGACGCUGAGGAGCGAAAGCGUGGGUAGCAAACAGGAUUAGAUACCCUGGUA